GACGAACGCUGGCGGCGUGCUUAACACAUGCCAGUCGAACGGAAAGGCCCUGCUUGCAGGGUACUCGAGUGGCGAACGGGUGAGUAACACGUGGGUGAUCUGCCCUGCACUUCGGGAUAAGCCUGGGAAACUGGGUCUAAUACCGGAUAGGAGCCAUUUUUAGUGUGAUGGUUGGAAAGUUUUUUCGGUGUAGGAUGAGCUCGCGGCCUAUCAGCUUGUUGGUGGGGUAAUGGCCUACCAAGGCGGCGACGGGUAGCCGGCCUGAGAGGGUGGACGGCCACAGUGGGACUGAGAUACGGCCCAGACUCCUACGGGAGGCAGCAGUGGGGAAUAUUGCACAAUGGGCGCAAGCCUGAUGCAGCGACGCCGCGUGGGGGAUGACGGCCUUCGGGUUGUAAACUCCGUUCGCUAGGGACGAAGCUUUUUGUGACGGUACCUAGAUAAGAAGCACCGGCUAACUACGUG
rnacentral:rRNA from 1 species